AUUGAACGCUGGCGGCAGGCCUAACACAUGCAAGUCGAGCGGAUGAAGGGAGCUUGCUCCUGGAUUCAGCGGCGGACGGGUGAGUAAUGCCUAGGGAUCUGCCUGGUAGUGGGGGAUAACGUCCGGAAACGGGCGCUAAUACCGCAUACGUCCUGAGGGAGAAAGUGGGGGAUCUUCGGACCUCACGCUAUCAGAUGAGCCUAGGUCGGAUUAGCUAGUGUGUGGGGUAAAGGCCUACCAAGGCGACGAUCCGUAACUGGUCUGAGAGGAUGAUCAGUCACACUGGAACUGAGACACGGUCCAGACUCCUACGGGAGGCAGCAGUGGGGAAUAUUGGACAAUGGGCGAAAGCCUGAUCCAGCCAUGCCGCGUGUGUGAAGAAGGUCUUCGGAUUGUAAAGCACUUUAAGUUGGGAGGAAGGGCAGUAAGUUAAUACCUUGCUGUUUUGACGUUACCAACAGAAUAAGCACCGGCUAACUUCGUG
rnacentral:rRNA from 1 species